GGGUCAGUAGGUUGGUCGUGCCACCGGUACGUACUGGUCUCACUGAUUCCUCCUUCCUGAAGAACGGUAAUGCCAUUAAUUUGGUGUUGCGGGGAAACAGGACUGUUACUUUGAAAAAAUUAGAGUGUUUAAAGCAAGCUAACGCUUGAAUACAUUAGCAUGGAAUAGUGAAAUAGGACGAUCGAUCCUAUUUUGUUGGUUUCUAGGAUUGACGUA
rnacentral:rRNA from 1 species